CCUACGGGGAGCAGCAGUGGGGAAUAUUGGACAAUGGGCGAAAGCCUGAUCCAGCCAUGCCGCGUGUGUGAAGAAGGCCUUCGGGUUGUAAAGCACUUUCAGUGGGGAAGAAAGCCUUGGGGCUAAUACCCUCGAGGAAGGACAUCACCCACAGAAGAAGCACCGGCUAACUCCGUGCCAGCAGCCGCGGUAAUACGGAGGGUGCGAGCGUUAAUCGGAAUUACUGGGCGUAAAGCGCGCGUAGGCGGUCUGAUAAGCCGGUUGUGAAAGCCCCGGGCUCAACCUGGGAACGGCAUCCGGAACUGUCAGGCUAGAGUGCAGGAGAGGAAGGUAGAAUUCCCGGUGUAGCGGUGAAAUGCGUAGAGAUCGGGAGGAAUACCAGUGGCGAAGGCGGCCUUCUGGACUGACACUGACGCUGAGGUGCGAAAGCGUGGGUAGCAAACAGGAUUAGAUACCCCAGUAGUC
rnacentral:rRNA from 1 species